rnacentral:rRNA from 1 species
UACGGAGGGGGCUAGCGUUGUUCGGAAUUACUGGGCGUAAAGCGCACGUAGGCGGCUUUGUAAGUUAGAGGUGAAAGCCCAGAGCUCAACUUUGGAAUUGCCUUUAAGACUGCAUCGCUUGAACACGGGAGAGGUGAGUGGAAUUCCGAGUGUAGAGGUGAAAUUCGUAGAUAUUCGGAAGAACACCAGUGGCGAAGGCGACUUCCUGGCCUGUUCUUGACGCUGGAGGCGCGAAAGCUAGGGGAGCAAACGGG